CGGGGUGUAGCGAAGCUUGGUAUCGCGCUGCAUUUGGGUUGCAGAGAUCGUCGGUUCAAAUCCGGCCACCCCGA
rnacentral:tRNA from 1 species